AUUGAACGCUGGCGGCAGGCCUAACACAUGCAAGUCGAACGGUAACAGGAAGAAGCUUGCUUCUUUGCUGACGAGUGGCGGACGGGUGAGUAAUGUCUGGGAAACUGCCUGAUGGAGGGGGAUAACUACUGGAAACGGUAGCUAAUACCGCAUAACGUCGCAAGACCAAAGAGGGGGACCUUCGGGCCUCUUGCCAUCGGAUAUGCCCAGAUGGGAUUAGCUAGUAGGUGGGGUAACGGCUCACCUAGGCGACGAUCCCUAGCUGGUCUGAGAGGAUGACCAGCCACACUGGAACUGAGACACGGUCCAGACUCCUACGGGAGGCAGCAGUGGGGAAUAUUGCACAAUGGGCGCAAGCCUGAUGCAGCCAUGCCGCGUGUAUGAAGAAGGCCUUCGGGUUGUAAAGUACUGUCAGCGGGGAGGAAGGGAGUAAAGUUAAUACCUUUGCUCAUUGACGUUACCCGCAGAAGAAGCACCGGCUAACUCCGUG
rnacentral:rRNA from 1 species